GUACUCUCAAACGCAUUAAACUUUUAACGACACUCCUGUUGGAACAGAAAGUCACCAGAUUAAAGAUGAAGACUGUCAUCUUUCUGAUGUGUCUCAUUGGACUGAGCCUGGCUGUGCCAGCUGACAUUGAUCUGACUCAUCUGGCCCACGCGUCAAAUUCCAACUCCAAUGAGAAUUUCAUGGAAAAUGGCAUGAAUGGCAUUCUCCAGUUUCUUCUCAGCCUUCUCAAUGCCCCCGGCCACACCCCCGCCCCC